UUGUAAGCCCCAAGUCUGCCCUGGUGACCAGGUCCCAAGCGAGGCCUGGAAGGAAGGUGGGCCCAGGACUAGCUCACCCGAUGGAAAGGCCCUUACACAACCCUUUUAACCACACCCUGGGCCAGUAAGGUACCAGGAAUUGUUAGUUGGAUUUGCCCCUCCAGGGUAAAACCCAAGCUGCCUGAGACACCAGAAAAUGAAAAAGAGAGAACACAAACCUUGAACACCUGUGAGCCAUGGAACGACCUCAAGUUUCCUUUCAGAAAAGAAAACACCAACCAACCUGUUCAGCCACAUAGCUACCUAGGAAAUUGGCAGACAGCCUAGACAAACUUACCAGGGUAUUGUCAUCCAUCAAGAUCAAACCGAUUCGCUAGCAGCUGUGGCCAUAUAAUAUGUAGAGCUCUAGAUCUCCUAACCCUCUAAACAGAGGAGUUAUGUUUGUCUCUGAAAGAAGAAUGUGGUUCCUAUGUCAGUCCAUCUGAAACAGUGAGAGAUGUAACACAGGAGCUGGCUGACCAUGCUUCUAAGAUCUGUGAAGAACUGAGUCAUGGAUGUCCUGGCCAAGUAUCUGGAAUUGGGAUUUUGGUUACUGUCCUAGAUAGACAUGGUUAUUAUUAAUGCUUCUUAUAACCUUACUCUUACAUACUUGAGAUCUUACAUACUUAAUCUCUUAGUCAAAUUUGUUCUUGUUUACCAGCCAUUAAACUACUGGUGAUGGCCCAAGCCCAAGAUCAAAACCUGGCUCCAUGUCCACAGCUCAUCAGAAUAUCCUGGGAGGAGAAACACGUCUCUCUUGAACUCUUAUAUCAGAAGGGGGAGAGUUCCUUCACCCCCCGAGGUAGGGCCAGUGUCCCUACUGAGCAGGAAGCAUCCAUGGAAGACAGACCUUCCUCCUUCAGCACCCCUUGAAGAUUUUUGGGGACCAGGACUCUCAGAGGGUAAUAGUGCAAGAAGCACAAGGGGGCUGGGAGACCACUUGCCUCUACCCCAUUGAGUUUGGGCAAGACCCAGGGCAAAUGCUCCUCCCUUGUUCCAAGUCACCUGGCAGGGUAAGCCCUGGAAAGCACACUUGUAGGAAGCCCCAACUCAGGAUGACUCAGCCCUCUCUUAGUCAUUCCUGUCAAUCCUACCUAGAAACCAGUGAGAGGUACCUGGGCUGGGGCUCCUCCUUAAAAAAAAUUCGAAAGCCUGAUUUUAUCUCCGUGUGUGCUGUCUACUUCUCUGUCAUCCCAGCACCAUUUUUCUGUUUGUGCCACGAUUUUCUUGGCACAGAGCUGUCCUGAGCAAGGUUUCCCUUUAUCUUCAACAAAUGCAAAUGCUUUUCUUUUAUCACUGGAUGUACACUUGCAGUUUUUUGCUCAUCCUACACAAGACCCUGGAAUCUGUUUGUUGGAUCCAGCCCACGACAUCAACUGCAGGUGUGCAUGUGCUUGGAGGUCAGGAGCCUCCUGCAGAGCAUAAGUUAGCAGUCUCACUGCAGGGCUUCCAGUAUGCAAAGCAGCAUGCAAGGGAGAGGAUGAGCAAGUGGCACCAGGGCAAGGAGAAACGGCCUGGCUUCAGGUUCAAUGGGAGUGGGCGGCCCGCAGAUCCAGUCCCAGCACUCGGUGGGGUUGGUGAAGUGCUCGGCCUGGGCCGGCGCUGAAACCCAGCACAGGAGGCUGAGAAAUACUUAAGCUCCAACGUUGCUCACCUAGUGGAUCAGUGUGUAAGGAUGUGCUAACAAAAUACCAGUCUAAGUGGUUUAAACAGUAGAAAUUGGUUUUCUCUCAAUUCUGGAGGCCAGAAGCCCAAGGUCAAGGCAUUGGCAAGCCUGGGUUCUUCUGGGGCAGCUUUUUGGAUAGCAAACAACUGCCACCUCCCUGUAUCCUCACAAUCAGCCCUCCAGUCUGUGGUACCUGUUCCCUGCUCUUUUCUUUUGAAGACGCUAGGACACUCGAGUAGGUCCACCCAUAGCACCUGGUCUACCACGACUGUAUCUCAGAGGCCUGACCUCCAAAUGUAG
rnacentral:lncRNA from 1 species